rnacentral:rRNA from 1 species
CCUACGGGAGGCUGCAGUGAGGAAUAUUGGUCAAUGGACGGAAGUCUGAACCAGCCAUGCCGCGUGCAGGAAGACGGCCCUACGAGUUGUAAACCUCUUUUGUACAAGGGCAAACCUGAAUACGUGUAUUCAGCUGAAGGUACUGUACGAAUAAGGAUCGGCUAACCCCGGUCCAGCAGCCGCGGUAAUACGGAGGAUCCAAGGGUUAUCCGGAUUUAAUGGGUUUAAAGGGGUGCUAGGCGGGUUGUUAAGUUAUGGGGGAAAUUUGAGGGGUUAACUCGGGACCCGCCUUUGAAACUGGUGCUCUUGAGUGUAAGAGAAGUAGGCGGAAUGUGUGGUGUAGCGGUGAAAUGCUUAGAGAUCACGCAGAACCCCGAUUGCGAAGGCAGCUUACCGA